rnacentral:lncRNA from 1 species
AUGAAUCAAAAGCAAGUACUUAAUUUGGAAGGUGAAGGAACUGCUGGUAGCUCUCCGUACAGCAGCUGUAUAAAUACCUCUCAGGCAGACUUCUCAGCAAAUACAGCAAGGCUGCUACAAACAGCCAAAAACAAAGCAGAAUUGUUCUAGGAAAUAAUCACUUGAACAGCGGAGGAGACUUUGCCCUAUUUGAUAUGGAAAGCACAGCCAAGGGUAUGGAUCUCAGAGCCUCAGAGUUAGGAGCUGCUCCAAGCCUUCUUCCCUAGAUGCCUCACACCCCUGCUGGACAACUUCCAAGCAUCACAGCUCUGGAUGGCCACUCAUCUUCUGUGUACAGACUCCAACCCAGCUGAAACCCAUUUCAUGAAAUGUAAUUCAUAUAAACCUAAUUUAUUAAAGA